AUUGAACGCUGGCGGCAGGCCUAACACAUGCAAGUCGAGCGGUAGCACAGGAGAGCUUGCUCUCUGGGUGACGAGCGGCGGACGGGUGAGUAAUGUCUGGGAAACUGCCUGAUGGAGGGGGAUAACUACUGGAAACGGUGGCUAAUACCGCAUAACGUCGCAAGACCAAAGAGGGGGACCUUCGGGCUUCUUGCCAUCAGAUGUGCCCAGAUGGGAUUAGCUAGUAGGUGGGGGAACGGCACACCUAGGCGACGAUCCCUAGCUGGUCUGAGAGGAUGACCAGCCACACUGGAACUGAGACACGGUCCAGACUCCUACGGGAGGCAGCAGUGGGGAAUAUUGCACAAUGGGCGCAAGCCUGAUGCAGCCAUGCCGCGUGUAUGAAGAAGGCCUUCGGGUUGUAAAGUACCUUCAGCGGGGAGGAAGGUGCUGAGGUUAAUAACCUCAGCAAUUGACGUUACCCGCAGAAGAAGCACCGGCUAACUCCGUGCCAGCCGCCGCGGUAA
rnacentral:rRNA from 1 species